GACGAGGUGGCCGAGUGGUUAAGGCGAUGGACUGCUAAUCCAUUGUGCUCUACACUCGUGGGUUCGAAUCCCAUCCUCGUCG
rnacentral:tRNA from 14 species